AUGCUGAUUUUAUUAUUCUUUCAACAAACUCAUUUGACUUGCUGCGCCUUGGCAAGUGCUGAGUCACUCUCAGUGCUUCACAGCAUUCCGCGAACACCUCAUCCUUCCUUACUUUCCUUUUUUCUUUCCUUUUUUUUUUUUUUUAAGAUUUCCUUUUGGUUAAUUUACAACAAGUCCUCAUUUUUUUCCCAACAGAAUUGUCUUUGGAAAAGAUUGAGAAGAGCCAGUAAACUUGGCUUCCUAACUUCUGCUUCUCAUCCCCAUCAGCAGAGAGAAAUAAUGACUCCCGAAUCAUUUCAGAAUCAAAAAGUUAAAACGAUGUCUCAAUGAUGCUACAUCAUGCCAGACACGGGCGAAUGGUUUGAAGAUAUUGGCCUAGCAAGAUGGCAACGGGUUUAAAAAAUUCAUAAGAUUCAUAGGAUUCAUAAGAAGUUACUUUUUUCAG
rnacentral:lncRNA from 1 species